AGUCCAGUUUCAGGGCUCCUCUCUCUUGGCAGGGAGCAUGUGAAGUCUUUUGUAGCUCACUCAUUUUCAGCCCUCUGCCAAAGGAGAGUUGCCCUAAAACUGGACU
rnacentral:ncRNA from 5 species